rnacentral:rRNA from 1 species
UACGUAGGGUGCGAGCGUUGUCCGGAAUUACUGGGCGUAAAGCGCACGUAGGCGGCUUUUUAAGUCAGGGGUGAAAUCCCGGGGCUCAACCCCGGAACUGCCCUUGAAACUGGAGAGCUAGAAUCUUGGAGAGGCGAGUGGAAUUCCGAGUGUAGAGGUGAAAUUCGUAGAUAUUCGGAAGAACACCGGUGGCGAAGGCGGCAUCCUGGACCGAUACUGACGCUGAGGAGCGAAAGCCAGGGGAGCAAACGGG